CAGCUCUCCGAGUAGUGUGGACGUUCAUUGGGCCUAAAGCAUCCGUAGCUUGCUAGAUAAGUCCUCUGUUAAAUCCACAGAUUCAAUCGUUGGAUUGCGGGGGAUACUGUUUGGCUAGGGGAGGGGAGAGGUCGACGGUAUUCCCGGGGUAGGGGUGAAAUCCUAUAAUCCCGGGAGGACCACCAGUGGCGAAGGCUGUCGACUAGAACGCGCCCGACGGUGAGGGAUGAAAGCUGGGGGAGCGAACCGGAUUAGAGACCCGAGUAGUCC
rnacentral:rRNA from 1 species